AAUAAAAUCCUUAAAACUACAAUUUUUGUUUAGAAAAUGUGUUGUGUAUAUCUUCAACAUGAGAGAAUGCAUCAAAGUGGUGUGAUCAAACUCUUUUAAUCCAAAUCUAACAAAUAUAUUAGGGUUUUGUGCCAACAACCCUCAAAAAUAUUUUUUUUUGCAACAUAACCUUUCAUAUUAAAUACAUGUAGGUCAAUACUCUGAUAUCAAAAGUCACCCACAGUAUAACCACGUGCAUAGAUUUUAUAUAAUCUUUGGGCGUGCUUAGAUUUUGCAAACCGUAUAAGUAUGUAUAUAAGUUAUUAAACUACGUCGUUUGAGCAUCUUUUCGGAAAAUAAUACAUUACUAGAGUGGAUUGGAACCAAUAACCUAUAAUACUAAAUAAUGCACUUAACCAAUUGUGCUGCAAGAUUUAUUGUUGAUAUUGCAUACCGAUAAAUAUAUAUUGUGAACAUUGCAUUCUGGGUUUCUUCAUCUUCUUAGGAAAUUAGGUUUAUUAGCAAUCCGAAAUCUCUAUUCACGUGAACUAGUUUGUUUAUCACCACUGAUUUCAUUAUCUUUGGCCAUCAUCAACAAUUUGUAGAGCAAGCAAGGGCUCAUUCUCAUCGCAAUUAAUCUAUUCUUCAUCGAGGAAAGCUCUGAGACGAGGCGUGGGUGGAAGAAUUGAGCGUGUUCAGACUUGGGUUUGAUCCGAUCGUAACCGCUCGCGCUGUUUGUCAAGUUUUAUGUUUACAAUUCUGAAAUAAUGUUAUUGUUGUAUUCGAUUCAUGUUUAAACUAUAUAU
rnacentral:sRNA from 1 species